rnacentral:rRNA from 1 species
GACGAACGCUGGCGGCGUGCCUAAUACAUGCCAGUAGAACGCUGAAGGAGGAGCUUGCUUCUCUGGAUGAGUUGCGAACGGGUGAGUAACGCGUAGGUAACCUGCCUGGUAGCGGGGGAUAACUAUUGGAAACGAUAGCUAAUACCGCAUAAUAGUAGAUGUUGCAUGACAUUUGCUUAAAAGGUGCAAUUGCAUCACUACUAGAUGGACCUGCGUUGUAUUAGCUAGUUGGUGAGGUAACGGCUCACCAAGGCGACGAUACAUAGCCGACCUGAGAGGGUGAUCGGCCACACUGGGACUGAGACACGGCCCAGACUCCUACGGGAGGCAGCAGUAGGGAAUCUUCGGCAAUGGACGGAAGUCUGACCGAGCAACGCCGCGUGAGUGAAGAAGGUUUUCGGAUCGUAAAGCUCUGUUGUAAGAGAAGAACGAGUGUGAGAGUGGAAAGUUCACACUGUGACGGUAUCUUACCAGAAAGGGACGGCUAACUACGUG